AAAUUGAAGAGUUUGAUCAUGGCUCAGAUUGAACGCUGGCGGCAGGCCUAACACAUGCAAGUCGAACGGUAACAGGAAGCAGCUUGCUGCUUUGCUGACGAGUGGCGGACGGGUGAGUAAUGUCUGGGAAACUGCCUGAUGGAGGGGGAUAACUACUGGAAACGGUAGCUAAUACCGCAUAACGUCGCAAGACCAAAGAGGGGGACCUUAGGGCCUCUUGCCAUCGGAUGUGCCCAGAUGGGAUUAGCUAGUAGGUGGGGUAAAGGCUCACCUAGGCGACGAUCCCUAGCUGGUCUGAGAGGAUGACCAGCCACACUGGAACUGAGACACGGUCCAGACUCCUACGGGAGGCAGCAGUGGGGAAUAUUGCACAAUGGGCGCAAGCCUGAUGCAGCCAUGCCGCGUGUAUGAAGAAGGCCUUCGGGUUGUAAAGUACUUUCAGCGGGGAGGAAGGGAGUAAAGUUAAUACCUUUGCUCAUUGACGUUACCCGCAGAAGAAGCACCGGCUAACUCCGUGCCAGCAGCCGCGGUAAUACGGAGGGUGCAAGCGUUAAUCGGAAUUACUGGGCGUAAAGCGCACGCAGGCGGUUUGUUAAGUCAGAUGUGAAAUCCCCGGGCUCAACCUGGGAACUGCAUCUGAUACUGGCAAGCUUGAGUCUCGUAGAGGGGGGUAGAAUUCCAGGUGUAGCGGUGAAAUGCGUAGAGAUCUGGAGGAAUACCGGUGGCGAAGGCGGCCCCCUGGACGAAGACUGACGCUCAGGUGCGAAAGCGUGGGGAGCAAACAGGAUUAGAUACCCUGGUAGUCCACGCCGUAAACGAUGUCGACUUGGAGGCUGUGCCCUUGAGGCGUGGCUUCCGGAGCUAACGCGUUAAGUCGACCGCCUGGGGAGUACGGCCGCAAGGUUAAAACUCAAAUGAAUUGACGGGGGCCCGCACAAGCGGUGGAGCAUGUGGUUUAAUUCGAUGCAACGCGAAGAACCUUACCUGGUCUUGACAUCCACGGAAGUUUUCAGAGAUGAGAAUGUGCCUUCGGGAACCGUGAGACAGGUGCUGCAUGGCUGUCGUCAGCUCGUGUUGUGAAAUGUUGGGUUAAGUCCCGCAACGAGCGCAACCCUUAUCCUUUGUUGCCAGCGGUCCGGCCGGGAACUCAAAGGAGACUGCCAGUGAUAAACUGGAGGAAGGUGGGGAUGACGUCAAGUCAUCAUGGCCCUUACGACCAGGGCUACACACGUGCUACAAUGGCGCAUACAAAGAGAAGCGACCUCGCGAGAGCAAGCGGACCUCAUAAAGUGCGUCGUAGUCCGGAUUGGAGUCUGCAACUCGACUCCAUGAAGUCGGAAUCGCUAGUAAUCGUGGAUCAGAAUGCCACGGUGAAUACGUUCCCGGGCCUUGUACACACCGCCCGUCACACCAUGGGAGUGGGUUGCAAAAGAAGUAGGUAGCUUAACCUUCGGGAGGGCGCUUACCACUUUGUGAUUCAUGACUGGGGUGAAGUCGUAACAAGGUAACCGUAGGGGAACCUGCGGUUGGAUCACCUCCUUACCUUAAAGAAGC
rnacentral:rRNA from 1 species